rnacentral:rRNA from 1 species
UACGGGAGGGAGCUAGCGUUAUUCGGAAUUACUGGGCGUAAAGCGCACGUAGGCGGCUUUGUAAGUAAGAGGUGAAAGCCCAGAGCUCAACUCUGGAAUUGCCUUUUAGACUGCAUCGCUUGAAUCAUGGAGAGGUCAGUGGAAUUCCGAGUGUAGAGGUGAAAUUCGUAGAUAUUCGGAAGAACACCAGUGGCGAAGGCGGCUGACUGGACAUGUAUUGACGCUGAGGUGCGAAAGCGUGGGGAGCAAACAGG